AAACAGCAGGCUUUACUUCCUGUUACUCAUUUGGGAUUCAUUGUUGAAGUUGGUUAGCCCAAGUAAUUUAACUUUUAUUAUUGUUACUAUUGUUUUUGUCGGGAUCAUUGUCCUAGUUAGUUGGAUUGAAUCCCUAUGACCUUAAGCUCCUGGGUGCUACAUGCUCAAAUAAUUGUAGUUUGGCUGAUUAAUGCACUGGUGGUAAGCAUUGAUCAUUGAUAAUUGAUGGGAUCCUUAAAAGAGUGGACUGCCUAGAUGGUACAAUUGACCGAGCGUUUGUUAUGUGGAAUCGAGCUACAUGGAUGUAGGAUGCAACUAAUUCCCAUGCCCCAUCUGGUUGAGGGAUUUCAGCCCGUCGUGCCUUAGCAGUUGAUUAAUAUUAAGUUGCUCGCGCAAUGAUUAGGGAAUUCAGCUUCAAAUAAAUGUCUGUUUUAAGUUCAUAUUAGAACAUCUAGUUUUGGUUUGGCUGAAUUCCCUAAUCAUUGCGCGAGCAA
rnacentral:misc_RNA from 1 species